rnacentral:lncRNA from 1 species
AAACAUGAAAAGAAAAUAAGUACGAUCGAAUUUCAAACAUGUUUUUACUUCUUUUCAUAUUUUACAAGCGUGUUAGCGAAAAUAUUGCAUCUGAUGUCAACACUAUGAGAAAUAUUUCCAUUUAAGACUGAUUAAGAAACAAACAAACAUUCCUUAUACCGUAACACAUAAUUAGAUAAGAGUCUAAAGAGACUUUAAAACCUAAUCUAUCAUGUGACAUAACAAUGUAAUAAAAAUGUCAUAUUAUAGCUCAUCUAACACCAGUCCGAAUUGCAAUGGAUCCGUCCAAUUAAGCGCAUCAGGUCAUAAAUCCCCCGCUGUCACGACGUAGUGACCUUAAAUUGGAUUAGUGCGAGAGAACAUACAGGCUCUGAUUAAGGACUUUAUUCAGGUAUGUCGGUUCAUAAAGACGCCUGAUGUCGGGACGGUGAAGGCACGUCUACAAGAUAAUGUGGUGUAAACAGAUGGUAAACGUAAUUUCCGGACACAGAUGCGACUUGCAAGGGUCAAAAUCUUUAUAUUAUGAUCUCUAUGUGCAUGCGAAUAUCUUCAGCCGACUUGUAAAAUGUCCAAACAGCUCCAACUGCUACCUAAGAUGAUAACACGGACGAUAAAGGAAUGGAGGG